CAGGCCCUUCGUCAGCUCUCCAGCUGGCUUUCCCUGUUCUCACCUUCUCGCUUUAACAAAAGAGUCUGCCUGGAAGCACUUAACCCAGUGGCUCUGCCUGGAGGUCACCUUCCCAUUGAGACUCCAUCCCCACCCCACCCCGUCCUUCUGGGACGUGAGCUCCUCAAGGGAGGGCCUUCCGUCUGUUUGUCCUCCCCUGGGCCUCUGAGCUGGCAGUCCCCGAGACGGCCCUGGCAUGGAGCGGAUCUUGAUAAAUGUGUUGACCAAACAGUUCUGCCCACUGUGAGGCUCUUGGUCAAUAUUUGUGAUGUUUCUGGGCUGAUCGGAGGAAGGAAAUGAGUUCCCAGGUCAACAGCAGGCCCACAAAACAGGUGGCGGGCCCGGAUCUGGGGUCCCGUCCACCCCGGACUCCCAGAGUGCCAAGCACUGGCGGAGAGCAGCAGGAAGGCCUGUGGAAUGAGGUACCCGGUCCCACAAGCCUUGCCUCCCUGGACCACUGUCACCCCACCAGUGGCCCCAGACGUCCUCGGGCAGGCCCCCUGUUGCUGACGGAGCAAGUCCCAGCUUUGGGGGGCCCCACCCUUUGGCCCGUGUCCAUCUCACCAGCCUCGCCGCAAGCCUCACCCACCAGGAACCUUGGUGACAGCUCCUCUGGGGCCUGCUGUCUGUUCCAGGACCUGAUCUAAGACACCGCAGUGCAGAGGGACAUGUGGCAUCUUCCCCAGCUGCACUGAUUCUGCAGGUGUGGGCCCCUCCGUUCUGCACCCACACCUCUAAUACCAGACACUUGGAUAAAACUCAGCGAACGAGACGCGGAGGGGAACCUCCUUAACCGGAUGAAGGGCAUCCAGGAACGCCGCGCGGCUAACAGCACACCGCUCAGAGGAGGGCUGAACGCUUUCCCCUCGGGUCAAGGAUGUCUGCUCCCACCUUCUCACCACCACCCCUGGGGUCCCAGGCGGGGCUAUCACGCGAGACAAGGGAGUGGCUCACAGACUGGAGAGUCAGGCCACAGACAGCUGCAGCUGUUCACAGACAACCUGACUGCCCACUGAGAAAAUCCCAAAGAAUCUGCAGGAAAAAGCUACUAGACCUGGUGAGUGAGUUUAACAGGGUGAGAGGAUAUAAGGUUGACAAAGUCAGCUGCAAUUCUGUAUACCGCAACGAAUAACCGGAAACUGAAAUGGAAACAGACCACCUCUGAGAGCACCGCAAACAAGCGAAACACCACCGACGGGUGUAUCUAAUACAAGACCUACAGGAUUUGCGUGCUGGAAACCACAAAACGGUAGUGAAAGAAACCCAAGACGAACCUAUGGAGACAGAAAAUAAACGGAGGAGGUCCCGUCGUGGCGCAGUGGUUAAC